rnacentral:rRNA from 1 species
AUUGAACGCUGGCGGCAGGCCUAACACAUGCAAGUCGAACGAGUGGCGGACGGGUGAGUAAUGUGUGGGACACUGCCUGAUGGAGGGGGAUCACUACUGGAAACGGUAGCUAAUACCGCAUACCAUCGGAUGUGCCGAGAUGGGAUUAGCUAGUAGGUGGGGUAACGGCUCACCGAGGCGACGAUCCCUAGCUGGUCUGAGAGGAUGACCAGCCACACUGGAACUGAGACACGGUCCAGACUCCUACGGGAGGCAGCAGUGGGGAAUAUUGCACAAUGGGCGCAAGCCUGAUGCAGCCAUGCCGCGUGUGUGAAGAAGGCCUUCGGGUUGUAAAGUACUUUCAGCGGGGAGGCGUUACCCGCAGAAGAAGCACCGGCUAACUCCGUGCCAGCAGCCGCGGUAAUUC